GAUGAACGCUGGCGGCGUGCCUAAUACAUGCAAGUCGAGCGAACGGACGAGAAGCUUGCUUCUCUGAUGUUAGCGGCGGACGGGUGAGUAACACGUGUAUACCCUACUUAUAAGACUGGGAUAACUUCGGAAAACCGGCGCUAAUACCGUAGGAUCUUUUGAACCGCGGGGUUCAAAAGAAAAAUUCGGCCUUUCGGUCUCUUAUCGAUGCAUCCCGGCUGCUUUAGCUGGUUGGUAAGUUAACGGCUUUCCAAGGCAAGUAUGCGUGACCGACCGCUGAGGGGGGUAGGCCACACGGGAGGUGAGACGCGGACCAGACGCCUACGGGAGGCAGCAGUCGGGAAUCUGCCGCAGUGGGCGAGAGCCUUACGGAGCAACGCCGCGUGAGUGAUGAAGGUCUUCGGUGCGUAAAACUCUGUUAUUAGGGAAAAACAUAUGUGUAAGUAACUGUGCACAUCUUGACGGUAACUAAUCAGAAAGCCACGGCUAACUACGUG
rnacentral:rRNA from 1 species